CUUCGAACGAAUUUUGACACUCCAAAAGCAAUUUAUUCCACUAUUUUCAAAGGCCUUAUUUGAACAUUUUUUUAUCAGCUGAGGUUUUUGAUUGUACAAGUGUACUAGUAAGUAGAAUACAUAGUUUAGUAGGGAAACAAUGGCUUGAAACGAAAUAAAUCUUUGUUUGUAAUGAGUUAUGUGCAGCUUCGGACCCAAGUACAUGCAUUGGUUGGAAAUUCAUUAUAAAAUGCAUUUGGUUCUGCUUUGAAAAGAAUCACAG
rnacentral:lncRNA from 1 species